rnacentral:rRNA from 1 species
GACGGGGGAUGCAAGUGUUAUCCGGAAUCACUGGGCGUAAAGCGUCUGCAGGUGGUUUCCUAAGUCCACUGUUAAACCUUGAGGCUCAACCUCAAAUCUGCAUUGGAAACUAGGAGAUUUGAGUAUAGUAGGGGGUAGAGGGAAUUUCCAGUGGAGCGGUGAAAUGCGUAGAUAUCUGGAGGAACACCGGUGGCGAAGGCGGCAUCCUGGACCAAUUCUGACGCUGAGGAGCGAAAGCCAGGGGAGCAAACGGGG